rnacentral:rRNA from 1 species
UACGGAGGGAGCUAGCGUUGUUCGGAAUUACUGGGCGUAAAGCGCACGUAGGCGGCUUUGUAAGUUAGAGGUGAAAGCCUGGGGCUCAACUCCAGAAUUGCCUUUAAGACUGCAUCGCUUGAAUCAUGGAAAGGCGAGUGGAAUUCCGAGUGUAGAGGUGAAAUUCGUAGAUAUUCGGAAGAACACCAGUGGCGAAGGCGGCUCACUGGCCCGUAACUGACGCUGAGGUGCGAAAGCGUGGGGAGCAAACAGG